UCAGCAGUUAACGCAUGCGCAUUGGGUGGAUUGCCCUCGUGCUCACCCUCCACCUGGGCGGGGCAAGGUCUUUGCACGCUGAGUGGGGGCCCUCUAGAGGAUGAAAAUUCGUAGAGUGUUUUUCGUUUUCUUUUAGAAGGAAACUUUUCAUCGACUUGGAACUGUCAGAAACGUCUUCCAACCUCUUCAUUUUACAAAUGAUGAAGUCGAGGUUCAGAGAGAUUGCAGCUUUUUCGAGGUCACGCAGAUAGUAAAUCGAGAUACCACCAUAGGUUCUUGAAAGCCCUCUCGAUACUUUUUCCUUUAUUCUGCGCUCGGGUCUCACGUGCAUGUUGUUUGGUUUAUAGAGAGCUUCCCAAAACUUUUUGCAAAUAAGGGAACUGAGUCAGAGAGAAAAAAGAAAUGACUAAGCUAAGAUCUUAUCUCUCUCGUGGACUCCAUUGGACCUUGGAGAAGCAGACCUUCAAGAAGAGUGAGCAAGAGUUUUCCCCAAUACUCUUAGGUGGACGAAGGGAAAAUUGUGGAAGACUUCAGCUAUUCUAUGGACCUCUGAGCACCUUCAUCUGGAUACCAGCAUCUCCCUGCUAAGGACUCUAUAUAUGUGAUAUUUCUGAGUUUUGUUUGACUAGCCUUUAGUAUUUUGGUGUAAGAAGAUAGGCUUAUUAUAUAGGGGCUUAAACUAGGGGUUAAGCAGUCUAAUCUCCCUUUUCCUCUUUCCUCCCUUUCCCCUCUCUGUUAAAAUAAAAUCAAAUUAUUUAUAUGAA